CUUUUGCCAAAUGUAAAAAGUUUGGCGAAUAAGGACUGGGUAAGACUAGUGCCAGCCGCCGCGGUAAUACUAGCGGUCCAAGUCGCAGCCAUUUUUAUUGGGUCUAAAACAUCCGUAGCUUGCUUGGUAAGUUUCUUGUGAAAUCCUCUCUCUUAAGGAGAGGGCUUGCAAGAAAUACUGCCUCGCUAGAGACUGGGAGACGUAAAGAGUACGUUCAAAGUAAUGGUAAAAUAUGUUAAUCUUGAGCGGACUUACAAUAGCGAAGGCACUUUACGAGAACAGUUCUGACAGUAAGGGAUGAAGGCUAGGGGCGCAAAACGGAUUAGAUACCCGUGUAGUCCUAGCAGUAAACACUGCACACUAAACAUCAGUACCUCUUCGAGAGGUAUUGGUGCUGAAGGGAAGCCGAAGAGUGUGCUACCUGGGAAGUAUAGUCGCAAGGCCGAAACUUAAAGGAAUUGGCGGGGAGACACUACAACGGGUGACGCGUGCGGUUCAAUCAGACUUCACACUGUGAACCUCACCAGGAGCGACAGCAGGAUGAAGGUCAGUCUAAAGGGCUUACCUGACACGCUGAGAGGAGUUGCAUGGCCGACGUCAGCCUGUGCCGUGAGGUGACCUGUUAAAUCAGGUAACAGGCAAGACCCACAUGCAUAUUUAC
rnacentral:rRNA from 1 species